rnacentral:misc_RNA from 1 species
CCCAAUUACAAAGUCCAUGGUUUACAACAAUACGCAACCUUAAAAAGCCCCUAAAUACAAAUCUAUAGAAAAAAAGGCCAAAGCCCAUACAACAACCCUAGCUACGCUGGUUUAGGACUCGACUCGGCAAAAGAACAAGCCAGGAACCACUACGCCGUCGACGUAGGGGCCAAGGAUUAACCCAGAUAGUCGCCAGUGAACCUAGAGCUUUCCAAACCAAGCCAAGAAACUCAACUCAGAGAACAC